rnacentral:rRNA from 1 species
UACGGAGGAUGCAAGCGUUAUCCGGAAUGAUUGGGCGUAAAGCGUCCGCAGGUGGCUAUGUAAGUCUGCUGUUAAAGAGUGAGGCUCAACCUCAUAAGAGCAGUGGAAACUACAUGGCUAGAGUGCGUUCGGGGCAGAGGGAAUUCCUGGUGUAGCGGUGAAAUGCGCAGAUAUCAGGAAGAACACCAAUGGCGAAAGCAGCUCUCUGGGACGGUACUGACGCUGAGACGCGAAAGCGUGGGGAGCGAACAGG